AAAAUUUAAAUUAAAAUACUAAAAUAGUAAGUAAAUAUUUAUUAAAACUUAAAUAAUUUGGCGGUAUUUUAGUUCAUUUAGAGGAAUCUGUUUAAUAAUUGAUAUUCCACGAAUAAAUUUACUUAAUUUAUAAUUUUGUAUAUCGUUGUUAUAAAAAUAUUUUUUAAUAAAAUUAAUAUUUAAAAUUUAUUAUAUGAAUUUAAAUCAAAUCAAGAUGCAGAUUAUAAUUAAGAAUAUAAUGGAUUACAAUAAAUUAAUUUAAAUGAAUAUUAAUUUGUAAAAAUUAAUUGAAAGUGGAUUUAAAUGUAAUUUUAUUUAGUUUAAUAAAAUGAUUAAAAAUUAAAAUAUGU
rnacentral:rRNA from 1 species